rnacentral:rRNA from 1 species
AUGUCGAGUAGUUUCUCGCAAGAGCUACUCAUCUCCACUCUUGUGCUACUUGUCCCUAUGUACUUCUACUUUAGGUGUAGUAGUAGGUCAAAGAACCCAACAAUGCUUCCCACAAACUGGCCAAUAUUGCACAUGUUACCUUCCUUCCUGGCCAACUCCCACAACUUGCAUGACUAUCUCUCCAUAGUGCUUGCCGAAUCAGGCCACAACUUCAAGGCGCAUGGCCCGGUUGGGAGCAGGAUGCGGUUGCUCAUCACCUGCGACCCCGCGAAUGUACGACACAUCUUCACCACAAACUACACCAACUUCCCCAAGGGAGCAGAGUUUGCCGCCAUCUUUGACAUCAUGGCUAGUAGCCUCUUCACCAUUGAUGGUGCACCCUCUCUUCGGCCGCGCGCAAAAAUCCAGAGCGUGCUUAGCAGCCCACGGUUGGUUGCUAGUAUGGCAACUUGCUGCCGUGACAAGGUGGAGAAUGGCCUUCUACCAUUAUUUUCCCACCUGGCAAGCACCGGCACUCGGUUCGACAUGCAAGAAGUGUUUUCCAGGUUUAUGUUUGACUUGGCUGCCACACCUCUCUUUGGCGUGGACCCUGGCCUCCUGUCCUUCUCCUUAGACAUGUCGAUGCCACCCAUGGAUGUCGCGGUCGCGAUGGACACGGUCAUGGAGGUGGGAUUUAUCCGACAAUUAAUUCCAGCCUCUUGCUGGAAGGCAAUGAGGCGCCUAAACAUCGGCUCCGAGAGGAAGCUUCACACGGCGCACACGGUGCUAAGAAGAUUUGCUGCAGAGAUGAUCGAGGAGAGGAGUAAGAUAACUCUCAAUGGGGGAAGAUGUGCAUUGAGUAAUGAUGAUGAACACGAGGAUAUUCUAUCUUCCUACAUAAAUGACCCAGAAUACACAGACAAUGACUUUCUCCAUGAGGUGCUCCUCAGCUUCAUGCUUGCUGGGCGGGACACGAUUGGUACCACUCUACCCUGGGUCUUCUACAACCUCGCCCAGAACCCUGGCAUUGUAUCAAUUAUCCGCAGUCAACUCUCACCCAUUGCAUCGCGCAAACCUCUUAGGUUGUACCCAUCGGCACCUAUUGAGCGCAAGACAGUGGCUGCUGCUGAUAUCAUGCCGAGUGGCCAUGAGGUGAAGGUCGGGGACACCAUCCUUAUUUCUCUCCACUCCAUGGGGAGAAUGGAAGAUCUAUGGGGUAAAGAAUGCGUUAGCUAUAACCCGAAUAGGUGGUUGUCAAAGGAUGGCAACACCCUGAGGUACGUACCAUCUCACAAGUUCUUGGCCUUCAACUCAGGCUCGAGGAUCUGCCCUGGCAAGGAGAUUCCGGUUAUGCAGAUGAAGACCGUCGUUGUGACUGUGUUGUGGAACUUUGAUGUCGAGGUGGUGGAAGGGCAGAUCAUCCAGCCCAAGCCAUCUUGUAUACUACAGAUGAAAAUGGAUUUAUAG